rnacentral:lncRNA from 1 species
UCCCCUCACAUACACCUUGAAAUAAUAGUUAACAAAUAAGUAAAUAAAUAAAUAAAAUAUUUGUACAUAUAAAUUGGGCUCUGUUUUAGUUUUUAUUUUUUUAGUGUUCGUCCAUGGCGAAAGCCUGUACCACUAAAAAAAUCAUAGACUCAUGUUCCAUUAAAGCUAUCAACAAAAUCGUGUGUCAUAAGUCUCUUUACCUUUCUCUUCAUUUUUCUCUCUUCCCGCCGGCUUCUCCUCUGGACCUCCACUACUCCGCCGCUACACGGUCGCGAAUCUCCGUUGUCCAAAACGCCAAUGAGAAAAAGAAGAAGAUUCGCCCUACAAAAAAUUUAAAAAUAAAUAGAUGUAACUUUUACUGUUCUGAAUUUUUUUUUUAUGACUAUUUUGUUACUCACAAAUACUAAAAUGGCUACCUUUGUAUGAAUGGUUGGCUACCAACUGCAUCACAUUUAAACGAAAUUGGUAACUUAAUAAAACUGAAUUGGUUACCUUGGUAUGAAGGUUUGACUACCAACUGCACUAUGAAAAAACUGCAAGUGUGGAUGUGAA